GGGUUGUGAGGUUAAGCGACUAAGCGUACACGGUGGAUGCCCUGGCAGUCAGAGGCGAUGAAGGACGUGCUAAUCUGCGAUAAGCGUCGGUAAGGUGAUAUGAACCGUUAUAACCGGCGAUUUCCGAAUGGGGAAACCCAGUGUGAUUCGUCACACUAUCAUUAACUGAAUCCAUAGGUUAAUGAGGCGAACCGGGGGAACUGAAACAUCUAAGUACCCCGAGGAAAAGAAAUCAACCGAGAUUCCCCCAGUAGCGGCGAGCGAACGGGGAGCAGCCCAGAGCCUGAAUCAGUGUGUGUGUUAGUGGAAGCGUCUGGAAAGGCGUGCGAUACAGGGUGACAGCCCCGUACACAAAAAUGCACAUACUGUGAGCUCGAUGAGUAGGGCGGGACACGUGGUAUCCUGUCUGAAUAUGGGGGGACCAUCCUCCAAGGCUAAAUACUCCUGACUGACCGAUAGUGAACCAGUACCGUGAGGGAAAGGCGAAAAGAACCCCGGCGAGGGGAGUGAAAAAGAACCUGAAACCGUGUACGUACAAGCAGUGGGAGCACGCUUAGGCGUGUGACUGCGUACCUUUUGUAUAAUGGGUCAGCGACUUAUAUUCUGUAGCAAGGUUAACCGAAUAGGGGAGCCGAAGGGAAACCGAGUCUUAACUGGGCGUUAAGUUGCAGGGUAUAGACCCGAAACCCGGUGAUCUAGCCAUGGGCAGGUUGAAGGUUGGGUAACACUAACUGGAGGACCGAACCGACUAAUGUUGAAAAAUUAGCGGAUGACUUGUGGCUGGGGGUGAAAGGCCAAUCAAACCGGGAGAUAGCUGGUUCUCCCCGAAAGCUAUUUAGGUAGCGCCUCGUGAAUUCAUCUCCGGGGGUAGAGCACUGUUUCGGCAAGGGGGUCAUCCCGACUUACCAACCCGAUGCAAACUGCGAAUACCGGAGAAUGUUAUUACGGGAGACACACGGCGGGUGCUAACGUCCGUCGUGAAGAGGGAAACAACCCAGACCGCCAGCUAAGGUCCCAAAGUCAUGGUUAAGUGGGAAACGAUGUGGGAAGGCCCAGACAGCCAGGAUGUUGGCUUAGAAGCAGCCAUCAUUUAAAGAAAGCGUAAUAGCUCACUGGUCGAGUCGGCCUGCGCGGAAGAUGUAACGGGGCUAAACCAUGCACCGAAGCUGCGGCAGCGACGCUUAUGCGUUGUUGGGUAGGGGAGCGUUCUGUAAGCCUGUGAAGGUGUGCUGUGAGGUAUGCUGGAGGUAUCAGAAGUGCGAAUGCUGACAUAAGUAACGAUAAAGCGGGUGAAAAGCCCGCUCGCCGGAAGACCAAGGGUUCCUGUCCAACGUUAAUCGGGGCAGGGUGAGUCGACCCCUAAGGCGAGGCCGAAAGGCGUAGUCGAUGGGAAACAGGUUAAUAUUCCUGUACUUGGUGUUACUGCGAAGGGGGGACGGAGAAGGCUAUGUUGGCCGGGCGACGGUUGUCCCGGUUUAAGCGUGUAGGCUGGUUUUCCAGGCAAAUCCGGAAAAUCAAGGCCGAGGCGUGAUGACGAGGCACUACGGUGCUGAAGCAACAAAUGCCCUGCUUCCAGGAA
rnacentral:rRNA from 1 species